AUUUUGUGAUAAAGGAACAUUGUACAUAGGGAGCAAUGGUAUCGUUUUUUUCCCCUGAAAACAAGGUAUAGCCAUGUAAUUGUGAGAUACUUGGGGUGAUUUCUUCACUUAAAUAUAUGGUACGGUAUAUCUGUUUU